rnacentral:misc_RNA from 1 species
GAUGAAGAACGCAGCGAAACGCGAUAUGUAAUGUGAAUUGCAGAAUUCAGUGAAUCAUCGAAUCUUUGAACGCACAUGGCGCCUUCCAGUAUCCUGGGAGGCAUGCCUGUCCGAGCGUCGUUUCAACCCUCGAGCCCCCGUGGCCCGGCGUUGGGGAUCUGCCCAGGCAGUCCCCGAAAACCAGUGGUGGACCCGUUACAGACCCUUCCCUUGCGUAGUAGCAUUCGCCUCGCAUCGGGAGCCGGCGGGCUUCCAGCCUCUAAACCCCCAUCAAGUCCGCCCCGGCGGCACCAAGGUUGACCUCGGAUCAGGUAGGAAUACCCGCUGAACUUAAGCAUAUCAAUAAGCGGAGGA